rnacentral:rRNA from 1 species
GAGGAAGUAAAAGUCGUAACAAGGUUUCCGUAGGUGAACCUGCGGAAGGAUCAUUCACAAACGAGUGUUUUAUGGCACUCUUUAAAAAUCCAUAUCCACCUUGUGUGCAAUGUUUGUUGGGAAAGUCUUUUCUUUCCCUUCAUAAAUAUCAACCUAUAUCUUUAACAACAUUCGUCUGAUAACAUAUUAUGAAUAUACUUAAUUCGAAAUAUAACUUUCAACAACGGAUCUCUUGGCUCUCGCAUCGAUGAAGAACGCAGCGAAAUGCGAUACGUAAUGUGAAUUGCAGAAUUCAGUGAAUCAUCGAAUCUUUGAACGCAUAUUGCGCUCUUUGGUAUUCCGAAGAGCAUGCUUGUUUGAGUAUCAGUAAACACCUCAACCUCUCUUUUUGACAAAAAAAGGAGGGUGGACUUGAGCUAUCCCAACGACCUUCACCGGUAGGCGGGCGGCUUGAAAUGCAGGUGCAGCUGGACUUUUAUCUGAGCUAAAAGCAUAUCUAUUUAGUCCUCGUCAAACAGGAUUAUUACUUUUGCUGCAGCUAACAUAAAGGAUAAUUGUCCUCUUUGCUGACUGAUGCAGGAUCUUACGACACUUUAUGUGUUGUUCAACUCGAUCUCAAAUCAAGUAAGACUACCCGCUGAACUUAAGCAUAUCAAU